rnacentral:rRNA from 1 species
UACCAGCACCCCGAGUGGUCGGGACGUUUAUUGGGCCUAAAGCAUCCGUAGCCGGUUCUACAAGUCUUCCGUUAAAUCCAGCUGCUUAACAGAUGGGCUGCGGAAGAUACUAUGGAGCUAGGAGGCGGGGAGAGGCAAGCGGUACUCGAUGGGUAGGGGUAAAAAUCCGUUGAUCCAUUGAAGACCACCAGUGGCGAAGGCGGCUUGCCAGAACGCGCUCGACGGUGAGGGAUGAAAGCUGGGGGAGCAA